AUAAGGUUAAGUUAAUAAGGGCGCACGGUGGAUGCCUUGGCACUAGAAGCCGAUGAAGGACGUGACUAACGACGAAAUGCUUUGGGGAGCUGUAAGUGAGCAAUGAUCCAGAGAUGUCCGAAUGGGGGAACCCGGCAGGUAAUGCCUGUCACUCAUUACUGUUAAGGUAAUGUAGAGGAAGACGCAGUGAACUGAAACAUCUAAGUAGCUGCAGGAAGAGAAAGCAAAAGCGAUUGCCUUAGUAGCGGCGAGCGAAACGGCAAGAGGGCAAACCGAAGAGUUUACUCUUCGGGGUUGUAGGACUGCAACGUGGACUUAAAGAUUAUAGAAGAACUACCUGGGAAGGUAGGCCAAAGAGAGUAAUAGCCUCGUAUUCGAAAUAGUCUUUAUACCUAGCAGUAUCCUGAGUACGGCGAGACACGAGAAAUCUCGUCGGAAUCUGGGAGGACCAUCUCCCAACCCUAAAUACUCUCUAGUGACCGAUAGUGAACCAGUACCGUGAGGGAAAGGUGAAAAGCACCCCGGGAGGGGAGUGAAAUAGAACCUGAAACCGUGUGCCUACAACAAGUUCGAGCCCGUUAAUGGGUGAGAGCGUGCCUUUUGUAGAAUGAACCGGCGAGUUACGAUAUGAUGCGAGGUUAAGUUGAAGAGACGGAGCCGUAGGGAAACCGAGUCUUAAUAGGGCGCAUUAGUAUCAUGUCGUAGACCCGAAACCAUGUGACCUACCCAUGAGCAGGUUGAAGGUGAGGUAAAACUCACUGGAGG
rnacentral:rRNA from 1 species